UACGUAGGGGGCAAGCGUUGUCCGGAUUUAUUGGGCGUAAAGAGCGUGUAGGCGGCUUUACAGGUCCGUUGUGAAAACUCGAGGCUCAACCUCGAGACGCCGAUGGAAACCAUCUGACUAGAGUCCGGAAGAGGAGAGUGGAAUUCCUGGUGUAGCGGUGAAAUGCGCAGAUAUCAGGAAGAACACCCGUGGCUAAGGCGGCUCUCUAGUACGGUACUGACGCUGAGACGCGAAAGCGUGGGGAGCGAACAGG
rnacentral:rRNA from 1 species